GUGCUCAUUUCAGCAGCACAUGUACUAAAACUGUAAUGAUAAAGAGAAGAUUAGCAUGGCCCCUGUGCAAAGAUGACACACAAAUUCGUGGAUCUAAAAAAAUAAAA